rnacentral:rRNA from 1 species
UAGUCCACGCCGUAAACGAUGGAUACUAGGUGUUUGGAACGAUCAAGUUCUGAGUACUACAGCUAACGCAUUAAGUAUCCCGCCUGGGGAGUACGGUCGCAAGGCUAAAACUCAAAGGAAUUGACGGGGGCCCGCACAAGCGGUGGAGUAUGUGGUUUAAUUCGAAGCAACGCGCAGAACCUUACCUACCCUUAACAUCCCGGGGCGACUGCAGAGAUGUAGUUUUCUCUUCGGAGACUCGGUGAUAGGUGCUGCAUGGCUGUCGUCAGCUCGUGUCGUAAGAUGUUCGGUUAAGUCCGGUAACGAGCGCAACCCUUAUCCUUAGUUACCAUCAUUAAGUUGGGGACUCUGGGGAGACUGCCGGUGUGAAACCGGAGGAAGGCGGGGAUGACGUCAAGUCCUCAUGGCCCUUACGGGUAGGGCUACACACGUACUACAAUGGCAGAAACAAACCGCAGCAAUAGCGUGAGCUGGAGCUAAUCGGUAAAACACUAGUCUCAGUCCGGAUUGCAGUCUGCAA